rnacentral:tRNA from 1 species
GUUUAAAUAGCAAAAGGGUUAAUGCCCGAGAUUUAGGAUCUUGUAUUGAGAGUUCGAUUCUUUCUUUAAACU